UGCGUAGGCGGACUAAUAAGUCAGUGGUGAAAUCUUUCGGCUCAACCGGGAAACUGCCAUUGAUACUGUUAGUCUUGAGUUCGGUUGAGGUGGGCGGAAUGUGUAAUGUAGCGGUGAAAUGCUUAGAUAUUACACAGAACACCAAUUGCGUAGGCAGCUUACUAGACCGACACUGACGCUGAGGCACGAAAGCGUGGGGAGCGAACAGGAUUAGAUACCCUGGUAGUCC
rnacentral:rRNA from 1 species